UAGGGAAUCUUCCACAAUGGACGAAAGUCUGAUGGAGCAACGCCGCGUGAGCGAUGAAGGCCUUCGGGUCGUAAAGCUCUGUUGUUAGGGAAGAACAAGUACCGGAGUAACUGCCGGUACCUUGACGGUACCUCACCAGGAAGCCCCGGCUAACUACGU
rnacentral:rRNA from 1 species